CGAAAGCCUGACGGAGCAAGACCGCGUGAGGGAGGAAGGCUCUUGGGUUGUAAACCUCUUUUCUUUGGGAAGAACAAAAUGACGGUACCAAAGGAAUCAGCCUCGGCUAACUCCGUGCCAGCAGCCGCGGUAAUACGGAGGAGGCAAGCGUUAUCCGGAAUGAUUGGGCGUAAAGCGUCCGCAGGUGGCAAUGUAAGUCUGCUGUCAAAGCACGGGGCUUAACUCCGUAAAGGCAGUGGAAACUGAAUAGCUAGAGUGCCGUAGGGGUAGAGGGAAUUCCCGGUGUAGCGGUGAAAUGCGUAGAGAUCGGGAAGAACAUCGGUGGCGAAAGCGCUCUGCUGGGCCGCAACUGACACUCAGGGACGAAAGCUAGGGGAGCG
rnacentral:rRNA from 1 species